rnacentral:rRNA from 1 species
AGGAAUAAGCCACGGCUAAUUCCGUGCCAGCAGCCGCGGUAAUACGGGAGUGGCAAGCGUUAUCCGGAAUUAUUGGGCGUAAAGCGUCCGCAGGCGGCUUUUCAAGUCUGCUGUUAAAGCGUGGAGCUUAACUCCAUCAUGGCAGUGGAAACUGAAAGGCUUGAGUAUGGUAGGGGCAGAGGGAAUUCCCGGUGUAGCGGUGAAAUGCGUAGAUAUCGGGAAGAACACCAGUGGCGAAGGCGCUCUGCUGGGCCAUUACUGACGCUCAUGGACGAAAGCCAGGGGAGCGAAAGGGAUUAGAUACCCCUGUAGUCCUGGCCGUAAACGAUGAACACUAGGUGUCGGGGGAAUCGACCCCUUCGGUGUCGUAGCUAACGCGUUAAGUGUUCCGCCUGGGGAGUACGCACGCAAGUGUGAAACUCAAAGGAAUUGACGGGGGCCCGCACAAGCGGUGGAGUAUGUGGUUUAAUUCGAUGCAACGCGAAGAACCUUACCAGGGUUUGACAUCCUGCGAACCUCUUAGAAAUUUGAGGGUGCCUUCGGGAAUGCAGUGACAGGUGGUGCAUGGCUGUCGUCAGCUCGUGUCGUGAGAUGUUGGGUUAAGUCCCGCAACGAGCGCAACCCACGUUUUUAGUUGCCAGCAUUUAGUUGGGCACUCUAGAAAGACCGCCGGUGAUAAACCGGAGGAAGGUGUGGAUGACGUCAAGUCAUCAUGCCCCUUACACCCUGGGCUACACACGUACUACAAUGCUACGGACAAAGGGCAGCAAACUCGCGAGAGCUAGCAAAUCCCAUAAACCGUGGCUCAGUUCAGAUCGUAGGCUGCAACUCGCCUACGGAAGUAGGAAUCGCUAGU